GACGAACGCUGGCGGCGUGCUUAACACAUGCAAGUCGAACGGAAAGGCCCUGCUUGUGUGGGGUGCUCGAGUGGCGAACGGGUGAGUAACACGUGAGUAACCUGCCCUUGACUUUGGGAUAACUUCAGGAAACUGGGGCUAAUACCGGAUAGGAGCUCCUGCUGCAUGGUGGGGGGUGGAAAGUUUCGGCGGUUGGGGAUGGACGCGCGGGUUAUCAGCUUGUUGGUGGGGUAGGGGCUUACCAAGGCUGUGACGGGUAGCCGGCCUGUGAGGGUGACCGGCCACAUUGGGCCUGAGAUAGGGCCCAGACUCCUACGGGAGGCAGCAGGGGGGAAUAUUGCACAAUGGGCGGAAGCCUGAUGCAGCAACGCCGCGUGCGGGAUGACGGCCUUCGGGUUGUAAACCGCUUUCGCCUGUGACGAAGCGUGAGUGACGGUAAUGGGUAAAGAAGCACCGGCUAACUACGUG
rnacentral:rRNA from 1 species